CCUACGGGUGGCUGCAGUACGGAAUCUUUCACAAUGGGCGAAAGCCUGAUGGAGCAACGCCGCGUGCAGGAUGAAGGCCCUCGGGUUGUAAACUGCUUUUAUUAGCGAGAAAUAUGAUGGUAACUUAUGAAUAAGGAUCGGCUAACUACGUGCCAGCAGCCGCGGUCAUACGUAGGAUCCGAGCAUAAUCCGGAGUGACUGGGUGUAAAGAGUUGCGUAGGUGGCAUACUAAGUAGCUAGGGAAAUCUGGUGGCGCAACCAUUCAGACUAUUAGCUAAACUGUUAAGCUCGAGACCGUUAGGGGUAACUGGAAUUUCUAGUGUAGGGGUGAAAUGCGUAGAUAUUAGAAAGAACACCGAUAGCGUGGGCAGGUUACUGGGACGGUUCUGACACUAAGGCACGAAAGCGUAGGGAGCAAACGGGAUUAGAUACCCUAGUAGUC
rnacentral:rRNA from 1 species